UUGAACGCUGGCGGCAGGCCUAACACAUGCAAGUCGAGCGGUAACACAGAGAGCUUGCUCUCGGGUGACGAGCGGCGGACGGGUGAGUAAUGUCUGGGAAACUGCCUGAUGGAGGGGGAUAACUACUGGAAACGGUAGCUAAUACCGCAUAACGUCGCAAGACCAAAGUGGGGGACCUUCGGGCCUCAUGCCAUCAGAUGUGCCCAGAUGGGAUUAGCUAGUAGGUGGGGUAACGGCUCACCUAGGCGACGAUCCCUAGCUGGUCUGAGAGGAUGACCAGCCACACUGGAACUGAGACACGGUCCAGACUCCUACGGGAGGCAGCAGUGGGGAAUAUUGCACAAUGGGCGCAAGCCUGAUGCAGCCAUGCCGCGUGUGUGAAGAAGGCCUUCGGGUUGUAAAGCACUUUCAGCGGGGAGGAAGGCGGUGAGGUUAAUAACCUCAUCGAUUGACGUUACCCGCAGAAGAAGCACCGGCUAACUCCGUGCCAGCAGCCGCGGUAAUACGGAGGGUGCAAGCGUUAAUCGGAAUUACUGGGCGUAAAGCGCACGCAGGCGGUCUGUCAAGUCGGAUGUGAAAUCCCCGGGCUCAACCUGGGAACUGCAUUCGAAACUGGCAGGCUAGAGUCUUGUAGAGGGGGGUAGAAUUCCAGGUGUAGCGGUGAAAUGCGUAGAGAUCUGGAGGAAUACCGGUGGCGAAGGCGGCCCCCUGGACAAAGACUGACGCUCAUGUGCUAAAGCGUGGGGAGCAAACAGGAUUAGUUACCCUGGUAGUCCACGCCGUAACCGAUGUCGUUUUGGAGGUUGUGCCCUUGAGGCGUGGCUUCCGGAGCUAACGCGUUAAAUCGACCGCCUGGGGAGUACGGCCGCAAGGUUAAAACUCAAAUGAAUUGACGGGGGCCCGCACAAGCGGUGGAGCAUGUGGUUUAAUUCGAUGCAACGCGAAGAACCUUACCUGGUCUUGACAUCCACAGAACUUUCCAGAGAUGGAUUGGUGCCUUCGGGAACUGUGAGACAGGUGCUGCAUGGCUGUCGUCAGCUCGUGUUGUGAAAUGUUGGGUUAAGUCCCGCAACGAGCGCAACCCUUAUCCUUUGUUGCCAGCGGUUCGGCCGGGAACUCAAAGGAGACUGCCAGUGAUAAACUGGAGGAAGGUGGGGAUGACGUCAAGUCAUCAUGGCCCUUACGACCAGGGCUACACACGUGCUACAAUGGCAUAUACAAAGAGAAGCGACCUCGCGAGAGCAAGCGGACCUCAUAAAGUAUGUCGUAGUCCGGAUUGGAGUCUGCAACUCGACUCCAUGAAGUCGGAAUCGCUAGUAAUCGUAGAUCAGAAUGCUACGGUGAAUACGUUCCCGGGCCUUGUACACACCGCCCGUCACACCAUGGGAGUGGGUUGCAAAAGAAGUAGGUAGCUUAACCUUCGGGAGGGCGCUUACCACUUUGUGAUUCAUGACUGGGGUG
rnacentral:rRNA from 1 species